AGAGUUUGAUCCUGGCUCAGAACGAACGCUGGCGGCAUGCCUAACACAUGCAAGUCGAACGCUCCGGUUUCGGCCGGGGAGUGGCGCACGGGUGAGUAGCGCGUGGGAACCUGCCGUGGAGUGGGGGAUAACCGAGGGAAACUUCGGCUAAUACCGCAUACGCCGGGAAACCGGGAAAGAUUUAUCGCUCCAUGAGGGGCCCGCGUCCGAUUAGGUAGUUGGCGGGGUAACGGCCCACCAAGCCGAUGAUCGGUAGCUGGUCUGAGAGGAUGAUCAGCCACACUGGGACUGAGACACGGCCCAGACUCCUACGGGAGGCAGCAGUGGGGAAUAUUGGACAAUGGGCGCAAGCCUGAUCCAGCAAUGCCGCGUGAGUGAUGAAGGCCUUCGGGUUGUAAAGCUCUUUCGGCGGGGACGAUGAUGACGGUACCCGCAGAAGAAGCCCCGGCUAACUUCGUGCCAGCAGCCGCGGUAAUACGAAGGGGGCGAGCGUUGUUCGGAAUCACUGGGCGUAAAGGGCGCGCAGGCGGCCUUGUCAGUCAGGCGUGAAAGCCCCGGGCUCAACCUGGGAAUGGCGCUUGGGACGGCGGGGCUGGAGGUCGGGAGAGGAGCGUGGAAUUCCCAGUGUAGAGGUGAAAUUCGUAGAUAUUGGGGAAGAACACCGGUGGCGAAGGCGGCGCUCUGGACCGAUACUGACGCUGAGGCGCGAAAGCGUGGGGAGCAAACAGGAUUAGAUACCCCGGUAGUCC
rnacentral:rRNA from 1 species